GCUAGGACUUGCCAGUGGAAGGCAAGUAUUUUCAAGGGGGAGCAUGUAGCCCUUGAAGUUACACAGGCUGCAUUAUCUGAAAUGCCCAGUAGAUGGCACAUGGACUCAGUAUGCUGUUAAUAAAACAUUGAGCUUUGAUCACAUGACUUGCUGAAAUCAAGAGAGGAGUGUGGCAUCAUCGCAGGGCCUGUCAGGACUUCCUGCACAGCUCUGAGGGAGGAGGAUUCUAAGAGUGACCACAUGCUGAGCCAGAGAGAGG